rnacentral:rRNA from 1 species
UAAUACGGAGGGUGCAAGCGUUAUCCGGAUUCACUGGGUUUAAAGGGUGUGUAGGCGGAUAUUUAAGUCCGAGGUGAAAUCUCUGAGCUCAACUCAGAAACUGCCUUGGAUACUAUUUAUCUUGAAUAUCGUUGAGGCAGGCGGAAUAUGUCAUGUAGCGGUGAAAUGCUUAGAUAUGACAUAGAACACCGAUUGCGAAGGCAGCUUGCUAAACGAUUAUUGACGCUGAGGCACGAAAGCGUGGGGAUCAAACAGGAUUAGAUACCCUGGUAGUCCACGCCCUAAACGAUGAUUACUCGACAUCAGCGAUACACUGUUGGUGUCUGAGCGAAAGCAUUAAGUAAUCCACCUGGGAAGUACGACCGCAAGGUUG